AUUGAACGCUGGCGGCAGGCCUAACACAUGCAAGUCGAGCGAGCGGCGGACGGGUGAGUAAUGUCUGUGAAACUGCCCGAGGGAGGGGGAGAUCUCCUGGAGACAGUAGCUAAUACCCCACACCAUCCGAUGUGCCCCGAUGGGAUUAGCUAGUAGGUGGGGUAACGGCUCACCUAGGAGAGGAUCUCUAUCUGUUCUGAGAGGAUGACCAGCCACACUGGAACUGUGACACGGUCCAGACUCAUACGUGAGGCAGCAGUGGGGAAUAUUUCACAAUGGGAGCAAGCCUGAUGCAGCCAUGCCGCGUGUGUGAAGAAGGCCUUCGGGUUGUAAAGCACUUUCAUCGGGGAGGCGUUACCCGCAGAAGAAGCACCGGCUAACUCCGUGCCAGCCGCCGCGGUAAUAC
rnacentral:rRNA from 1 species